rnacentral:rRNA from 1 species
UACAGAGGGUGCAAGCGUUAAUCGGAAUUACUGGGCGUAAAGCGCGCGUAGGCGGCCUUGCAAGUCGGGUGUGAAAUCCCCAGGCUUAACCUGGGAACUGCAUUCGAGACUGCAUUGCUAGAGUAUGGGAGAGGGAAGUGGAAUUUCAGGUGUAGCGGUGAAAUGCGUAGAUAUCUGAAGGAACAUCAGUGGCGAAAGCGACUUCCUGGCCCGAUACUGACGCUCAUGUACGAAAGCGUGGGGGGCAAACAGG